AGAGUUUGAUUCUGGCUCAGGAUGAACGCUGGCGGCGUGCUUAACACAUGCAAGUCGAACGGGCUCAUAUUGAAACCUAGUGAUGUAUGAGUUAGUGGCGGACGGGUGAGUAACGCGUGGAGAACCUGCCGUAUACUGGGGGAUAACACUUAGAAAUAGGUGCUAAUACCGCAUAAGCGCACAGCUUCGCAUGAAGCAGUGUGAAAAACUCCGGUGGUAUACGAUGGAUCCGCGUCUGAUUAGCUGGUUGGCGGGGUAACAGCCCACCAAGGCGACGAUCAGUAGCCGGCCUGAGAGGGUGAACGGCCACAUUGGGACUGAGACACGGCCCAAACUCCUACGGGAGGCAGCAGUGGGGAAUAUUGCACAAUGGGGGAAACCCUGAUGCAGCGACGCCGCGUGAGUGAAGAAGUAUUUCGGUAUGUAAAGCUCUAUCAGCAGGGAAGAAAAUGACGGUACCUGACUAAGAAGCCCCGGCUAACUACGUGCCAGCAGCCGCGGUAAUACGUAGGGGGCAAGCGUUAUCCGGAUUUACUGGGUGUAAAGGGAGCGUAGACGGCAGCGCAAGUCUGAAGUGAAAUCCCAUGGCUUAACCAUGGAACUGCUUUGGAAACUGUGCAGCUGGAGUGCAGGAGAGGUAAACGGAAUUCCUAGUGUAGCGGUGAAAUGCGU
rnacentral:rRNA from 1 species